CACAAAGUUUUCUGUGUCUAAUGUUUAUUUUCCACUAGAUGGCAUUUGUGUACCUUAGCACUCAUUUACACAAGUUACUUUUGGUUAAUUUAAUUUUGUGUAUUUUGAUAUUUUGAUUAUUUUCUAAUGUUUAUUGUGUUUCUAUACUGAAUUGUUGUUUAUUUGAGCAAGAUUUAUUUUUUCUAAGAGAUUAUUGGUUAUUUUAUUUUACUCCCAUCAUGCCGUUAUAUGUCACUUCCUGGUUUGUCACUUCCUGUUUUGUCAACCACAUGAAGAGAUGGAGCAAUGUAAGCAUUGCUAACUUAAGAGUGUUUCGAUCUAUAUCAUAUGCCAUCCAACCAAGAAAAUUCAAGAUAUAACCCCCUCUCUUAGCUCACAAGCAGGCAAAAGUGUUCUACGGUGUUGGUGUUGAAGUUGAUGUCUGUAUUGGUGUCUAUGUCGAUGAAUGCAUUAAACAUCUGUGAAAAAGAACCUCAGCCUUCGCAAUGUGACUAAGGGCGGCAUAGUAGAACACUUCACUGCAUUGGUGAAGGCCAAGAGCAUCAGAUGCUAAAGCUACAAGAGGCACUACGUAUUGGCAAGGGAAGUACACCUUUUAAAGACUGCAAUUGAUUGAUUGAAGAAGCCGGUGAUCAAGUAAAGGCUGAACAAGCAAGCACUUUUAAGUUAGUGACUUGGAAGCAGCAUAAGGUCUUGUGAACUGUGCUAAAGUUUCAAUUGCAUUGGUAUUCCAUCACCUUCAUUCUAAGAAAAGGUUAAAUAUCUUUCUAUUGUUGGUUGGCUUACUAAGCUAAAAAGGAUUGAACAGAUAAGCAGUUGUGUUUUAUUAUUGAAGAAAUCUAAAGUGUCUAAAGUGAAUUUUCUUGUUAUAUUCAAGUGUUUUGUACAUGAUAAACAAUUUUAAGUGUGCAGAA